rnacentral:rRNA from 1 species
CCCUUAGAUGUUCUGGGCCGCACGCGCCCUACACUGACGAAUGCAACGAGCUUAUAACCUUGGCCGAAAGGUCUGGGUAAUCUCCAAAUUUCGUCGUGAUGGGGAUAGAUUAUUGCAAUUAUUAAUCUUCAACGAGGAAUGCCUAGUAAGCGCAAGUCAUCAGCUUGCGUUGAUUACGUCCCUGCCCUUUGUACACACCGCCCGUCGCUCCUACCGAUUGAAUGGUCCGGUGAAGCGUUCGGACCGUGGCCUUUGGACGGUUCGCCGUCUGUUGGCUGCGGGAAGUUCGUUAAACCUUAUCAUUUAGAGGAAGGAGAAGUCGUAACA